UUAUCUGUUAGAUGCCGAUCACUUUAAUUUGUUCCGAUACCGGUGCCGGUAGCAAACCUAUAUGAGAAAGAAAGGAAAGGUAGGAGUUUUUUACCUUAUUUGUAUUUUAACCUAACUUUGAAUGAAAAAUAAAAAAUAAAAAUUAAUUUAAAUUUAAAAUAAGGACGUUUUAGUUAUUUAAUAUAUAUGAAUUAAAAAAAAAAGUUGAGGGGUGGCCGUGGCCUUCCCACGUCCCCCGUCAGUU
rnacentral:lncRNA from 1 species